GCCCGUAAGGCCUGAAAUUUAUAUUUGUUAAAGGGGUUUGCUCUUUUUUCAUACAAUGCGUCCUUAAUCUUCCUUACAAAAACUUGUAAAGCAUCAUUUGCUUCCCAAUCAGCAAAACACAGGUCACCUGAGCACCUUGACCGUUGCUUUGGUGCCCCAGCCCCAUCGGGACUAACCCACUUGAUCCCAAUCCCCACCAACAUAGAUAUCAA
rnacentral:lncRNA from 1 species